GACGAACGCUGGCGGCGUGCCUAAUACAUGCAAGUUGAGCGCUGAAGGUUGGUACUUGUACCAACUGGAUGAGCAGCGAACGGGUGAGUAACGCGUGGGGAAUCUGCCUUUGAGCGGGGGACAAAAUUUGGAAACGAAUGCUAAUACCGCAUAAAAACUUUAAACACAAGUUUUAAGCUUGAAAGAUGCAAUUGCAUCACUCAAAGAUGAUCCCGCGUUGUAUUAGCUAGCUGGUGAGGUAAAGGCUCACCAAGGCGAUGAUACAUAGCCGACCUGAGAGGGGAAUCGGCCACAUUGGUACGGGGACACGACCCACACUCCUACGAGAGGCAGCAGUAGGGAAUCUUCGGCAAUGGACGAAAGUCUGACCGAGCAACGCCGCGUGAGUGAAGAAGGUUUUCGGGUCGUAAAACUCUGUUGGUAGAGAAGAACGUUGGUGAGAGUGGAAAGCUCAUCAAGUGACGGUAACUACCCAGAAAGGGACGGCUAACUACGUG
rnacentral:rRNA from 1 species